AAAAAAAAAAAAAGGAAAGCAGUUGAAUAUGUUGUUUUUACAUCUCCACAAAUAAUCAGGAAACUUUUUGCCAAAUUUGUUAUGGUGGUCAGCAAAACUGGAUCACCAAAUUGAGUUUGCUGAACACAACUUUGCUGAACACAGAACUAAGAGAAAACGUCAAGAAUCAUACAUAUCCCAAUUUUCUGAAAAAAAUUAUAUGAGGGAAAAAAGAUCCAUGACUUCAACAGCCUUGUUGCAAUUAUUUACACCAACUAGAAAGUUAAAUUAGGGGUAGGUCAAAGCUUUCAGGCAUUUGAUUGUAAUCUUCCUCACCCCCUCCUCCCCCACAAUCUCCCUCCUUUCCACACAAAGACCCAAAAAUAAAGAAUCCACAACCAUAUUUUUAACUUAAAUUUUAAUUCUAAAACAAACUGGUAAAAAACAUGGAAAACGAAUGUGGUUGCCAAUGGUACCUAGAAGAAGAAAAUUUUAUCGAGGCUGCAAAUUUUAAGUAGAAUCUUUAAAGAAGUCAAAUGAGGUGAAAUCAUCCAUAACCAGACAAUUUAAAAUUCGAUAAGUAAAAUACCAACUUAUCUUUGGCUACAAUUGAGAACUUAGUCAUAAUUGUUGGGUCUUUGCAUUAGCAAAAAUUUUAGUUGUACGGAUGUCAUAUACUCGGCAUACAUCGUAUUCUGCCUUCAUUGAGUUGCUUGCAUGGUCAGAUUCUCAAUAAGUAAUGAUGAAUGAUUUACAUGCAAGAAAACAAAAGAAACAAUUUGUACAAAAACAAUAGGCAAGGGCAGAAACUCGCUCACCAAACUUACAACAAAUGAAAUAUCUGGUUGUGUUAUUGUGAGAUAAUUUAGCUUACCCACCUGUCUUCAAUAUCUGCCAGGGUCUUCCAAUGGCUCCCCUUGUCCAGGAGCAAGUUUGACAUUUGGCUCCAUAGGAGUAUCUACAUGUUUGCAGUUUGACAUGCCCCAUUUCUUCUAAUAUAUCUAAAACAUACUUCGUUUGUGAAAUAACAAUGGUAGUCUUAGACUGUGUACCUCAAUCGUAUUUUUAGUUUGAAAGUGACCAAACAAAUGUUGUUUGAGCCAAGAGAUCUUAUCAUGGUAACUAACUAUUAUGAGAAUAUCAUCAAAAUAGACUGUCGAAUAAAUGCAUUUACCAUAAUCACCAUGGCAAAAGAACACUGAAUAAUCAGCUUCCCUCUAAGAAACUUCAAAUUGUUGGACCAAAGCCCUAAAACAUCCAAACCAUGCUCUUAGAGAUUGUUUCAAACUAUUUAGUGCAUGUCAUAGAUGACACAGUAAGUCAAACUCCUUCUGAGCAAUAAUCCCUGAUUGUUGUUCCAUAUAAACUUCCUUGGUUAGCUCUCCAGGUAAAAAGUCAUUCCUAAUAUCCAAUUGAUGAAGCAUCCAAUGAUGGAUUGCUGCUAAGGAGAUAAGAAGGCAUACUGAUACAAUUAUAGCCACCGGUGAGAAGGUAUCAUUGUGAUCAAACCCAUAUAUUUGAGUGUAGCCUUUAGCUACAAGAUGAGCUUUCAACUAAUUAAUAUUUCCAUCAUGACCUAUUUUCAAGGUAUAAACCCAGUGAUAUCCAAUAGCAGAUUUGCCCUGUGGUAAUAGAACUAACUCCCAAGUUCCAUUAUUGUAGAGAGCAGUUAUCUUCUCAACCAUUGCAUCACGCUAUCCUGGAUGUGAUAAUCCUUUCCUAACAAUUUUUGGUAUAGGAACAAUAGACAAAGAAGACACAAAGGCAGAAUAGGAUGGUGAUAAACGAUAUUAACUUAAAAAAAUUAUAAAUGGGAUGUGGGUUGCAAAAGGAGCAAGUAACUUUUUUGAAAAAUGAUGGGAGGACUGUUGGUUCUAUUGAAGGCAUGAUCAGCGGUGGAAUAGGAGGAGAGUUACUAGGAGCUAAUAUAGUACCUGUAUCACGUAAAGAAACAUUAAUGGCGUUAGCUAGAGGGUAAGGAUGACGUGAGUAUACUCGGAGAGGGGGUGAACAGUGGCAGAGGAAGAACAGGAAUUGGCAGAGCUUUAGGAAUGAGAUAGUUGUGCGUCAUGCUUGAAAAAUAUGAAAAUGUUUCAAGAAAGGUUACGUCUGUUGAGACCAAGUAGUUGUUUGUUGCUGGGUCAUAGUAUUUGUAAAUUUUUUGAAGACAGGACAGAAGUAUCCUAAAGAGGCAUCUCUAACUAAUUUAGGCUGAAGUUUAUCUUUUCUAGGAGUGUGAUUAUUAACAAAACAUGUACAACCAACACACGCAAACAAGGGCAGAGCCAAAGGUCUUGAGUGCAGUCAAAUGAACGCAUUCAACUUCAUAAAACAAUUUUUAAAAAUAUAUAUGGUAUAUAAGAUAUCUUUAAUAGUUUUUAAUAAAUUGCCUUCACUGAAACUAGUAAAAAAAUAUAAAAUUGGGUCAAUUCUAUAUUUUGAACACACACACACAUAAUCAAAAUUGACUAAUUAAAUAAAAGCCCCAUUAAAUAAAAUUUCUAGCGCCAUCACUACACGCAGGGGUAGUUGAGAGGAAUGUGGUAUGGAAAUAGAAUUGAAUAAGAACUUUGAUGCUAUAAAAUAGAUGAAGGCAUUUGGUUAAUUAGAUCACAAGCGGUUAGAACAAUACCUCCCCAAAAACGGAGGGGAACUUUAUGAUGUAUAAGCAAGGUAUGGGCAGUUUCAAUAAGAUGCCGAAUUUUAUAUUCGGCCACUCUAUUUUGUUAAGGAGCAUUUGCACAAGAGAUCUGAUAGGUGAUUCCUUGAGAAGACAUGAAAUUAGUAAAUGGAGAAGAUAAAUAUUCUUUUACAUUAUUGUAUACUUUAAUGGAAACACCAAAUUAAUUACAAACCUUAGUAUAGAAAUUUUGAAAUAUAAAGAAUAAUUCAGAACAAUGUUUCAUUAAAAAUAACCAAGUCAAUGAGAAUAGUCAUCAAUAAAUGUAACAAAGUAAUGAAAUCCCAACUUGAAAACGACACGGCUUAGGCCUCAUGCAGAAUGAACAGUAUGAAACAUAGAUGGAGCCUGAUUAUUGACUCGCUUCGGAAAGAGAGAUGCAUUUGUUUCUCAAGUUGA
rnacentral:misc_RNA from 1 species